ACUCCUACGGGAGGCAGCAGUGGGGAAUUUUGCGCAAUGGGCGAAAGCCUGACGCAGCAACGCCGCGUGAGUGAUGAAGGCUUUCGGGUCGUAAAGCUCUGUCGAGGGGAAAGAAGUGUAUUGGAGCUAAUAUCUCCGAUACUUGACGGUACCCCUAAAGGAAGCACCGGCUAACUCCGUGCCAGCAGCCGCGGUAAUACGGAGGGUGCAAGCGU
rnacentral:rRNA from 1 species